GCCAGACUCCUACGGGAGGCAGCAGUGGGGAAUAUUGGGCAAUGGAGGAAACUCUGACCCAGCAACGCCGCGUGAAGGAUGAAGGUUUUCGGAUUGUAAACUUCUGUCGCGAGGGACGAAGAAUGACGGUACCUCGUAAGAAAGCCCCGGCUAACUACGUGCCAGCAGCCGCGGUAAUACGUAGGGGGCAAGCGUUGUUCGGAAUGACUGGGCGUAAAGGGUGUGUAGGCGGUGUAGCAAGUUAGAAGUGAAAUACCUAGAGCUUAACUCAGGUGCUGCUUCUAAAACUGCUAUACUUGAGUGCAGUAGAGGAGAGUGGAAUUCCUAGUGUAGCGGUGGAAUGCGUAGAUAUUAGGAGGAACAUCAGUGGCGAAGGCGACUUUCUGGACUGUAACUGACGCUGAGGCACGAAAGUGUGGGGAGCAAACAGGAUUAGAUACCCGCGUAA
rnacentral:rRNA from 1 species